RAAUUGAAGAGUUUGAUCAUGGCUCAGAUUGAACGCUGGCGGCAGGCUUAACACAUGCAAGUCGAACGGUAGCAGGAAGAAGCUUGCUUCUUUGCUGACGAGUGGCGGACGGGUGAGUAAUGCUUGGGGAUCUGGCUUAUGGAGGGGGAUAACGACGGGAAACUGUCGCUAAUACCGCGUAAUGUCUAAGGACUAGAGGGUGGGACUUUCGGGCCACCUGCCAUAAGAUGAGC
rnacentral:rRNA from 1 species